AGGAUCUGACGCAUUAUCAAAAUGGAGAUGUGAUCGACUCAAAUAAGGUUGCUCAGAUUCUGGCGACUUUUAGGUCUCAGGUGAACAAGAGGAGAUAUGAGGACUCUUAGGAAAUUGUAUAAUGUGGAUCCAAAUGACUACAUGUUCUCGAUUUAUGGGAUGAGGAUCUUC